rnacentral:rRNA from 1 species
UACGGAGGGUGCAAGCGUUAUCCGGAUUCACUGGGUUUAAAGGGUGCGUAGGCGGGUAAGUAAGUCCGUGGUGAAAUCUCUGAGCUUAACUCAGAAACUGCCGUGGAUACUAUUUGCCUUGAAUAUUGUGGAGGUGUGCGGAAUAUGUCAUGUAGCGGUGAAAUGCUUAGAUAUGACAUAGAACACCAAUUGCGAAGGCAGCUCACUACACAAUCAUUGACGCUGAGGCACGAAAGCGUGGGGAUCAAACAGG